CAAGUAGUAUUUGUGGACAGCAGCAGGUGACCAUUGUGAGGUAGAUAUUUUGUUCUAAUUUUCCAGAUGAGGAAGCUGAGACCCUAAAAGGCUGACCGGUUCCCUGAUGUGUUACCUGCUUCUGCUACUGAUCCAAACUGCAGAACUUCUCAUUCAUCCCCAAGGCCUCCAGGCAGUAUCCAAUGGGGAAUCAGCUCUAAAAGGAACCAGACCAACGUUUUCCAGCCCCUUCAUUCUGCUUCCCUCUGUGUGAGGAAAGGAUAGAAAUGUUCAGGACAUCAUCAUACAGGCUCCUCAUCUACAAAGUUCCAGUAGCAGUGACGCCUACACGGAAGACUUGGAACUGCAAACAGGCUGGGGUCACCUCAGUGACAUCUGACGCUGUCCAACCAGAAGUUCGAUUUUUGUUCUGGGGGUGAAGGAGGAAACAGACUGUACUAAAG
rnacentral:lncRNA from 1 species